rnacentral:rRNA from 1 species
GACGAACGCUGGCGGCGUGCUUAACACAUGCAAGUCGAACGGAAAGGCCCUGCUUUUGUGGGGUGCUCGAGUGGCGAACGGGUGAGUAACACGUGAGUAACCUGCCCUUGACUUUGGGAUAACUUCAGGAAACUGGGGCUAAUACCGGAUAGGAGCUCCUGCUGCAUGGUGGGGGUUGGAAAGUUUCGGCGGUUGGGGAUGGACUCGCGGCUUAUCAGCUUGUUGGUGGGGUAGUGGCUUACCAAGGCUUUGACGGGUAGCCGGCCUGAGAGGGUGACCGGCCCCCUUGGGGCCGGGGUACCGCCCAGAACCCUACGGGGGGCAGCCGUGGGGAAUAUUGCACCAUGGGCGGAAGCCUGAUGCAGCAACGCCGCGUGCGGGAUGACGGCCUUCGGGUUGUAAACCGCUUUCGCCUGUGACGAAGCGUGAGUGACGGUAAUGGGUAAAGAAGCACCGGCUAACUACGUG